rnacentral:rRNA from 1 species
CUCGGCCUCAGAUCAGACAAGGCUACCCGCUGAAUUUAAGCAUAUUAAUAAGCGGAGGAAAAGAAACUAACAAGGAUUCCCCCAGUAACGGCGAGUGAAGCGGGAUCAGCUCAAAUUUAAAAUCUCCGUUGCUUGCAACGGCGAAUUGUAGUUUCGAGAAGCGCUUUCUAGGCGGACCGGCUGCGCCUAAGUUGCUUGGAACAGCACGUCAUAGAGGGUGACAACCCCGUCUGUGGCGUAGGCGGCCGCUCACGAUGUGCUUUCGAAGAGUCGGGUUGUUUGGGAAUGCAGCCCAAAAUGGGUGGUAAACUCCAUCUAAAGCUAAAUAUUGGCACGAGACCGAUAGCGAACAAGUACCGUGAGGGAAAGAUGAAAAGGACUUUGGAAAGAGAGUUAAAAAGUACGUGAAACCGUUAAAAGGGAAACGAAUGGAGCUAGCAAUGCACCCAGCGAGAUUCAGCUGGUUGGUGGAUCGGCCGCGAUGUGUGCAGAUCUGAAUUGACUGCGGCUUCGUGGUUCGAGCUCCCUGCCAUCGCACUUCUCGCGGGCGCGCGUCAACAUGGGUUGGGACCGGGUCUAAACGGCACCGGCAAGGUAAGUCCGCACCUCCGGGUACGUACUGUUCUAGGCCGGCGCUCUCGCGGCCCGGACCCGACCGAGGCGAUGCAGCACAUGCCUCUUGUGGCUGGGGUCCCGUUCUUCCGGUUGGUUGUCGACUGUGGUGGACUGCGUGCAGUGCACCGCGACUGCUGCCGGUCGCUUGGGCGGUGACUUCGCAUGAUGUGCUUAGGAUGUUGGCGGUCAUAUGGCUUCAUCCGACCCGUCUUGAAACACGGACCAAGGAGUCUACCAUAUGCGCGAGUCUUUGGGUGAUUGAAACCCGCGGGCACAAUGAAAGUGAAGGCGGCUCCGGCCUGCCGAGGUGAGAACCUCCCCUCUCGGGGUGGCGCAUCAUCGACCGACCUAUUCUACUCUUAGGAAGGUUUGAGUAAGAGCGCAUUUGUUGGGACCCGAAAGAUGGUGAACUAUGCCUGAAUAGGGUGAAGCCAGAGGAAACUCUGGUGGAGGCUCGUAGCGAUUCUGACGUGCAAAUCGAUCGUCAAAUUUGGGUAUAGGGGCGAA